rnacentral:rRNA from 1 species
CGUGGAGGCGGUUUAUUAAGUUAGUUGUUAAAUCGCUCGGCUUAACCGGGCAAUCGCGAUUAAAACUGAUAAGCUAGAGUGUGGGAGAGAAAGGUAGAAUUCUCGGAGUAGCGGUAAAAUGCGUAGAUCUCGAGAGGAAUACCGGUUGCGAAGGCGGCCUUUUGGCCCACCACUGACGCUGGAGCGCGAAAGCGUGGGGAGCAAACA